rnacentral:sRNA from 1 species
CUCAUCACAACAAAUCCAGAUCUGUGUCCAGCAGUCCUGAUCCACCAGAGUAUUCGUACUAUGGCUGUGUUUCGGUUGUUAUUGCUGGACAUCUCGACGAUACAUGGAGCCAUCACGGAGUCUUUCUUUUUCUCUUCUCAUGGUGUCAAUUUCCGGUCGACAGAUCUCAGAGGGAAUCUCAAGCAGCCCGGUUUUCUUUUAAUUUCAUUAAUAAUAGAUUAACAUUCUACCUUGAGCUCCCUUCUCCUUUGCGGGUUGGUGAGCUCGGUGAGAUGGCCGGGUGUCUGUUGUGGGCGUCAUAUUCCACCUCCCUUUACCGAUUAUGGCCGUCGGCUGAUGAGGUUAGGGAAAAACCAUGACUUGCCAACAUCA